CGUUCUAUGGCCUAACCGAUUACAGGCGAAGAUGCGGGUUCGAGUCCCGCUGGAAUGG
rnacentral:tRNA from 1 species